UUCGGACUGCAGGCUGCAACUCGCCUGCACGAAGCCGGAGUUGCUAGUAAUCGCGGAUCAGAAUGCCGCGGUGAAUGCGUUCCCGGGUCUUGUACACACCGCCCGUCACACCAUGGGAGUCGGAAAUGCCCGAAGUCAGUGACCCAACCGUAAGGAGGGAGCUGCCGAAGGUGGAGCCCGGUAACUGGGGUGAAGUCGUAACAAGGUAGC
rnacentral:rRNA from 1 species